AAGUAGUCGCACGAGCGCACCCUUAUCCUUUGUUGCCAGCGCGUAAUGGUGGGAACUCAAAGGAGACUGCCGGUGAUAAACCGGAGGAAGGGGGGGAUGACGUCAAGUCAUCAUGGCCCUUACGAGUAGGGCUACACACGUGCUACAAUGGCAGAUACAAAGAGAAGCGACCUCGCGAGAGCAAGCGGAACUCAUAAAGUCUGUCGUAGUCCGGAUUGGAGUCUGCAACUCGACUCCAUGAAGUCGGAAUCGCUAGUAAUCGUAGAUCAAAAUGCUACGGUGAAUACGUUCCCGGGCCUUGUACACACCGCCCGA
rnacentral:rRNA from 1 species